GGUUAAGCGACUAAGCGUACACGGUGGAUGCCCUGGCAGUCAGAGGCGAUGAAGGACGUGCUAAUCUGCGAAAAGCGUCGGUAAGGUGAUAUGAACCGUUAUAACCGGCGAUGUCCGAAUGGGGAAACCCAGUGCAAUUCGUUGCACUAUCGUUAACUGAAUACAUAGGUUAACGAGGCGAACCGGGGGAACUGAAACAUCUAAGUACCCCGAGGAAAAGAAAUCAACCGAGAUUCCCCCAGUAGCGGCGAGCGAACGGGGAGCAGCCCAGAGUCUGAAUCAGCUUGUGUGUUAGUGGAACGGUCUGGAAAGUCCGACGGUACAGGGUGAUAGUCCCGUACACCAAAAUGCACAGGUUGUGAACUCGAAGAGUAGGGCGGGACACGUGGUAUCCUGUCUGAAUAUGGGGGGACCAUCCUCCAAGGCUAAAUACUCCUGACUGACCGAUAGUGAACCAGUACCGUGAGGGAAAGGCGAAAAGAACCCCGGCGAGGGGAGUGAAAAAGAACCUGAAACCGUGUACGUACAAGCAGUGGGAGCACCUUCGGGUGUGACUGCGUACCUUUUGUAUAAUGGGUCAGCGACUUAUAUUCUGUAGCAAGGUUAACCGUAUAGGGGAGCCGCAGGGAAACCGAGUCUUAACUGGGCGUUAAGUUGCAGGGUAUAGACCCGAAACCCGGUGAUCUAGCCAUGGGCAGGUUGAAGGUUGGGUAACACUAACUGGAGGACCGAACCGACUAAUGUUGAAAAAUUAGCGGAUGACUUGUGGCUGGGGGUGAAAGGCCAAUCAAACCGGGAGAUAGCUGGUUCUCCCCGAAAGCUAUUUAGGUAGCGCCUCGUGAACUCAUCUUCGGGGGUAGAGCACUGUUUCGGCUAGGGGGUCAUCCCGACUUACCAACCCGAUGCAAACUACGAAUACCGAAGAAUGUUAUCACGGGAGACACACGGCGGGUGCUAACGUCCGUCGUGAAGAGGGAAACAACCCAGACCGCCAGCUAAGGUCCCAAAGUCAUGGUUAAGUGGGAAACGAUGUGGGAAGGCACAGACAGCCAGGAUGUUGGCUUAGAAGCAGCCAUCAUUUAAAGAAAGCGUAAUAGCUCACUGGUCGAGUCGGCCUGCGCGGAAGAUGUAACGGGGCUAAACCAUGCACCGAAGCUGCGGCAGCGACACUAUGUGUUGUUGGGUAGGGGAGCGUUCUGUAAGCCUGCGAAGGUGACCUGUGAGGGUUGCUGGAGGUAUCAGAAGUGCGAAUGCUGACAUAAGUAACGAUAAAGCGGGUGAAAAGCCCGCUCGCCGGAAGACCAAGGGUUCCUGUCCAACGUUAAUCGGGGCAGGGUGAGUCGACCCCUAAGG
rnacentral:rRNA from 1 species